rnacentral:rRNA from 1 species
AUUGAACGCUGGCGGCAGGCCUAACACAUGCAAGUCGAACGAGUGGCGGACGGGUGAGUAAUGUCUGGGAAACUGCCUGGUGGAGGGGGAUAACUACUGGAAACGGUAGCUAAUACCGCAUACCAUCAGAUGUGCCCAGAUGGGAUUAGCUUGUUGGUGGGGUGACGGCUCACCAAGGCGACGAUCCCUAGCUGGUCUGAGAGGAUGACCAGCCACACUUGCACUGAGACACCGUCCAGACUCCUACGGGAGGCAGCAGUGGGGAAUGUGGCACAGUGGGGGCAAGCCUGAUGCAGCCAGGCCGCGUGUGUGAAGAAGGCCUUCGGGUUGUGAAGUACGUUCAGCGGGGAGGCGUUACCCGCAGAAGAAGCACCGGCUAACUCCGUGCCAGCAGCCGCGGUAAUAC